rnacentral:lncRNA from 1 species
UUUGAAUCAAUCGGGUUUCAAAAGAACGCGGUGAACCAAAUAUUAAACCCCAUUGAUCGUUGUGAAGCUAAUUACAAAUCAUUCAAUGAAUUACAAGGUCUAACAUGGGAGGAAGUUCUGAAUAAGGGAACAAGGCAUUUCAGUGAGGAGUUCAGUAAGUAUUGUGACAGGAAAAUGAAUGAAAUUGUAGCUAUGUAAUAUGUUGGGUUGGUUUUUGGUUUUUUUCACUAGAUCUUACAGAAGUGAAACUAACAUGCUAAAGCUGCCCAUCGAUUGAUCCAAGCCCAAACGUGCUGCUAAUUUCUACUGAAACUGAGCUGAGACAAUAACUACAUCAUAAUCUAACACUAUGCUCCAGCACUAGCAAUUUUCAUUGGAUUUAAGGGAAUCUAAACUCUAUACGCAGUACACUGCAACAAAAAGUAACUUCAACAAGACAGAUGUGUAUAAAACAAGGCUAUUCAAUAGAAUAGGUUACCACAAAAGAGAUUAACAGGCAAUGAUUAAAACAAAAACUUACUCAUACUUUAACAACUAAUGAUGUAGUUUAACCAAAAUAAAUUGGGAGUAAAAAAGUACAUGGAUACAGCCAUGGGUUACGUCAAAACUCAAAACAGCACACCAUAUUCCUUUGUUUCAAACAAAAGGGCCGGUCAGGUCUUUUAUGCAACUAAUUUGAUUAAUCUAGUCUUAAACUUUUUAAAACCUCAUGUUAAAGGUGAAUGCAUGAUUCAAUUUCUAGAAAUGUUGAAUCUUUCGUCGUAAAAAAACAUAAAAGGGAAAACAUGUUGAAAGAAUGUUAGGGCAGACAAUGUUUACCUUGAUUGAAUUGGAAAGAUUUUCUUGAGGGUUUAUUUGGAGAUACUUGGGAUUGAUCUCUAAUGAUGUCAAGAGACUUCCCUACUCACAGCAUUUGAAGAACACAAGUCUGUUUUUGGUCGACAAAACAGUGCUCUGAAAGAAAUGAAAUCGGGCAAGAAAUGAAAUGAAAACAGUGCUCUGAGAGUUCUAAAAAGGUGCAAGAAAUGAAACAGGAAGAGGCUGAAAGUGAAACAGGAAUAGAAAUCGGGAGAGAAAGUGAUGUUGGGAGGGAGAGGCUGGAGAUGGCUCUUGUAUUGGGAGGGUAAAACAGGGCAAAUCACAAUCUGGGAGGGUUAAACAGAGCUAAACUGACCUUUUGCUUGGGAAUGGAAAUGGGUCAUUAAGCAGGAAUAGACAUGAAAAGAAAAGAAACAGAGGGAGCAAAUCGGCAUAGGCUAGAAGGAACAGAAGAGAAACAAAGGGGAAGCCGAUGGGAGGGUAAAACAGAGAGGGUAAACUGAAGUGGAGCCUAAUCUGGGCAAAAGGGACGGAUUACAAAUCGGUGAUUUUACUGAUUAGGUCAGUAAUGUAUUACAAUGGUAUUAUUUCUUAAACUUUUACUUACCCAUUUAAC